rnacentral:lncRNA from 1 species
CCGCUGCUACUGCCGCUGCGGCAGGCUGUAGCAUUGGCCACCAGCCGUCACCUCGACAACGUGUGGGCAUGGGUGGAGCUACAGCCGCCGCCGCCGCCGCAGCCUGCGGCUGCGCCCUCCUCAUCCGGCAGUAGCAAUAAUGCCAGCAACAACGGCAGUAGCACUGUUGAUGGCAGUAGCAAUGGCAGUAGCAGUGGCAGUAGCAAUGGCAGUAGCAUACAAGCGGACGAGGAGCUGGUAUACGUGGCACGGCGCUGGCCAGCUGCCCGCAGCCCCUGUGACGUGGAGAACCGCCUGGGCUGCGGCGGCAGCGACACCUACAGCUACCGCCAGCGGCGCCCGCCGGCCGGGGCGGCGGCGGCGGCGCUGGCGGGCCGGGGAGCCGUCGUGUCCCUCCGCGUGGAGGGUGAGUGGCAGCGGCGGCGAGUUUAUUUCGUGUGUUCUGUGUGGCUUGUGCGGCUGUGCGCGUGUCCGCGGAGUUUUGAGUGGGGCUAGUUGCUUGGGCAUGGUCACAAACGUUACGGUACACGUACGGACACACCGCACAGGCUUUCUCACACUGGAUGCGGCGGCGGCGGCGGCGGACUCUGUCCAGGACCAUGUGGGGCGCGGCACGAUCAAUGCGUUGCUGUUCGCCCUGCCGUGGGUGCUGGACGGCACACCCCUGUACCCGCCGCCCCCGCCCCCAACCCCGACCCCGACCCCAGGAGGAGGGGCAGGAGCAGGGGCUGCAGCUGGGACGGGUGCGGAAGCCGAGUACGGGCAGCAGCAGCAGCAGCAGCAGGCUGUAGCUGACUGGCUGACGCUGGCGCUGCUGCGUGCCGCUGCUGCUGGGGGCGCGGGCGGUGGACGUGGCAGUAGCAGCGGCAGUGGUAGUGGCCGUGGAAUUGCCUGGCCGCUGUUUGACAUCACCGUCACACCCAACCGCAGCAGCAGCAGCAGCAGCAGCAGCGGUGGUGGUAACAGCGGCAGUAGCAGCAGCAGUAGCAGUAGCAGUAGCAGCAGUAGCACCAGCCGCGUGCCGCAGCGGCGCUUCGCUUGGGGCGAGGGCAGCCCUCGUCGCAACGACAGCAGCAGCAGUAGCAACAGCAGCAGUAGCAGCGGCUGUAGCAGCGGCAGUGGCAGUAGCGGCUGGCCUCGCCCCAGCGUGGCCUUCCCCUACUACAACGAGCCCGUGCUGGCGGUGUUGUGGAGUCGGGCGGUGGUGCGCGAUGAUGUAGCGGAGGCGGCGCCGCCGGGCAGUGCCGUACUGGGGGUGCUGGUGGCGGCGGCACGGCACGUGGAGGCAGCCAUGGAUCCCUUCGGGCAGCGCUGGAAGACCGGCAGUAGCAGCAGUGGCAGCAGCAGCAGCAGCAGUAGCAAUGGUAGCGACAGUGGCAGCACUGUCGGCGGAGGCGGUGGAGGCGUGAAUGGCAGUAGCAGCAGCAACGGUGGCGGUGGAGGCGUGAAUGGCAGUAGCAGCAGCAAAGGUGGCGGCGGCGGCGUGAACGGCAGUAGCUACAGGAAUGUGUUUGCGGAGGAGGCGGCGGCGCGGGGGCAGAUCAGCGGUUCGACCCAGACCGCGAGUGAGUGCCCGUGGAUGCUGUGUGUGUUUGUGGGGGCAGGGGGGGGAUUGCAAGGAUGUUUGGAAAAGCGGUAGGGGGGUUUGUACACCGAGCUCCAACGAGUGAGUCCCAUCAUCAUCAUCAAGGGGAUAUGCCACACAUUGCGAUGCCAGGACAUCCCUUACACCCACACCGUUUCCGCCCCACCCCACCCACUCCAGUCAACCCCACCCCCCACUCUGUGUACCUACCUCUGCAACCCCCCAUCCCACACCCCCUGUUCCUGAACCUUAAACCCACACCCCCGCCUGCUGCACCGCCCGUGGUUCCCGCUGCUCCCUCUGCUCUUGCCCUGCGGCUCCCAUGGCCGUGGCCUCGCAAACCCCCACCCCACCCCACUGCUUGUAUCCUGUUCCCAAUCUUUUUUAACCUCGCAACCCCCCACCCCAUCGCCACUGCCGCCACUGCCGCCCAGUCAUCUUGGUGGGCACCUAUCUAUGGGGCGUGUGCGGCGCCGCGAUGAUUGGUCUGGUAGCGCAUGUCUGGUGAGUAGGGCUCCGCCGUCCGAGUUGCUUAACUUGAAACCCGCGGUGUGGGUCUGCGCUGUUGGAGAGAGGCGCCUGAAUGCGCAGCUGCGAGGUAGAUACGCGCGCCGUGUAAAGGUGGCGGGUAAUGUAUAUGAAACUUGGUAGCCCGGGGUGGGACAACGGUAAUGUGUGCACGACUGUGGUAUUAUUGAGUGAUUGCCAUUGGUGUUGCAAUGGGUCCGCAUUGCGUCCUCUGCUUUCACACGUACACUCCGUGCAGGUACGAACGGCGCGCAGACGCAAAGGCGGCGGCGGCGGCGGCGGCGGCCGAGGCCGCCGCGGUGGCGGCGGCGGCCGACCACGAGGAAGCACGCGCGCGCCGCCGCCGCCGCCGCCACCUUGCGGCCGCGGCGGCAGCGGCGGCGGCGCUGGCUCCCGCUGGCGACGGCAGCGAUGACCAUCCGGGGGAGGGCGACCCACAACCCCACGAGUACUCACACGCGCAACCACAUGGUGGUGACACCGACUUGUCGAAAGAGGGCGGCGAGGGUGAUGUUGAGGAAGAGGAAGAGGAGGGCGGGGCGGGCGAGAUUCGACCGCUGCGGCCGCGGUCGGUGCUGAUCGAUGGCAGAAGCAUGAGUGGCGGCGGCCGCAGCGGCCGCAGUGCCGGCAGUAGCCAGCAGCGGCGCUCCGGCAUGAUGGCGGCGCACGCAUCGGCAGUAGCAGUGGUGGGUACUGCUACUGCCGGCGGCGGCAGGGGCAGUAGCAGGGGCAGGGGCAGCGGCAGUAGCAUCUUGGCUGGGGCUAGGCCAGGCUUGCCGAUGGCUGCUGCUGCCGCCUCUGCGCGUGGCAGCACGGAGAGCAUGGGCGGCGAUGCUACUGCUACUGCCGCUACUGCCGCUACUGCCGCUGCUGCAACUGCAGCCGCGGCGGCUGCAGCUGCUGCAGCUGCUGCAGCCGCGGCGUCCAGCCUGUCUGCGCACAGGAGCCAGCGGCGGGUCGCGGCGGCGAUGGCGGCGGCGGGCGUGGUGAUGCACACCAACGUGCUCGCAGGCCCCGACACGGAGCAGCGCCCCGGACACGGACAGGGACAGAGCCAGCCGGGUCGCUCAGUGCCUGGGGUGGCGGCGGCGGCCGCAGGGGCUGCUGCUGCUGCGGCGGCGGCGGCCCCGGCGGCGGCGGCGGCGGCGGCAGGUGCGGUGCAUGAGGCCGGCUGUGUGGGGGACGCAUCGGCAGCAGCAGUAGUAGCGGCAGUAGCGUGCGGAGGCGGAGGCGAGAUAAGCCCCGUGACGCAGGAGGCGCCCGCAGCAGACACGGCCGCUGCAGCCACGGGCCUGCAGCAGCUGCGGAGGAGUGGUGGGGGCCGCGCCGCCGCCAGUGAGCCGCACCCCGCCGCCGCCGCCGUGCACACACACGGCGGGCAGGGGCAGGGGCAGGGGCAGGGGCAGGGGCAGGGGCAGGGGCAGGGGCAGGGGCAGGGGCAGGGGCAGGGGCAGGGGCAGGGGCAGGGGCAGUCUCAAGUGAGGGGCUCCUCACAGCAGCAGCAGCACCCGCAUCAACACCCAUCAAAGCUGCUGCCCAAACAGCAACAGCAACAGCAACACAAGCAGCAGCAGCAGCAGCAGCAACAGCCGCAGCAGCAGCGUCGCAGACUGGCGGCGGCGCCUCAACCCCAGGCUCUGUCGCAGCCGCCCUUUCAUGAUCAGCCCCCGUGGGAAGCAGCCGCAGCAGCCGCAGCGGCCGGUACGUUUGGCGACGCUGCUGCUGACGGGGUAGCGGCCGUGGGGGCGGCGCCGUUCUUGUCGUUGGGUGCAGGAAUGAAGAGCAUGAAGGCCCACGCCUCCUCAACGUCCACGUCGCCCGCGGCAUCCGCGAAGCCCAAUGCUAGUAGCAGCAGCAGCAGCAAUGCGCAAGCGGCAAUGGCGGCAGUUACAAUGCCAGCAGGAGUGGCAACAGCAGGACCAGGAGCAACAGCUAUAGCCGCAACAACCGCAGGGGCUGCAACAACCGCUGGGGCCGCUAGCAGCAGUGCUCGUGCGGUAGAAGUGCGUGGUACGGUGGCAGCAGCAGCAGCAGCAACAGCGGCAACAGCGGCAGGAGCAGCAGCAGUGGCCACCCGCCGCGGGCUGCGCGUAUCAAUUCCAUCGCCACAGCCGUCGGGCCCGACUCCGAGCAGCAGCGGGGCCAGCGGCAGCUCAAUUGUGGGUAGCGGCAGAGCACAUGCGUCUUUGGCGGCGGCUGUAGCUGCUGCGGCGCCGCAGACUGCUGCACCUGCAACCGCUACAGCCGUUGCUCCAGCAGCCGCCACAGCCGCUGCAGCCGCCAGUGUCCCCUCCGCCGCCGGACCACAGGCCGUUAGCGCCCUGCGGGCGUCUGUGCCGACGGCGGCAGCGGCUGCGUCCGUGACAGCAGCAGGAGCACCGGCAGUAGCAGCCAGCACUGGCCGCACGCCACGGCCCUUGCGGCCGCUGCAACGCGGCGCGUCUGCGGGCUCCGCCGUGAGGUCCCCAGUGGCGGCGGCGUCGCCGGCGGCACUGGUGCCCGCAGAGGCUACAGCCUCCCCGCGCGCCGCCUGUGCAGCGCCGCCUCCGGCAGUAGCCGCAGUGGCAGUAGCCGGCGACGGCGGCGGCGGAGGCGGCGGCGGCGUCAGCUUCCGGCAGAAGCUGGAGGGCGCGUUUGCUACAGCCAUGCAGCAGCUGCAGCAGCAGCGCGCCGCCGCCAUAGCCGCCGCCGGCGGCGGCAGCCUUUCUCCGGUUGCGGUGGCUGCGACGACUGGAGGUGCUACUGCUGCUGCCUUGCCCGUGGCGGCGGCUGUGGCGGCGCCCAACAGCAGCGAUGCUACUGCUGCUGCUGCCGCCGCGGGCAAGGCCUCCGGUCUGCGGUCGUAUCAGUCCGCUCCGCCACCGCCGACGGGCGGGUUGGCAGUAGCACCAGCAGCGGCAGUAACAACAGCAGUAGCACCAGCAUCCGCAGCAGGUGGCGGGGUGGCUCUGUCACCUGCGGCGGCAGCGGCGGUGGAUGGCGUGCGCGUGGCGGCACGCGUACCGGCGGCGGCGGCGGCUGCAGCGGUGGCAGCGGCAAGGCAGGAGCUGAGUCCGGCCAAGCUGCAUGAGGAGGAGGGUCCGGGCGGUGGGGAGCUGGUGGCAGCGGCAGCAGCGGAGGGGGCGGGAAUGCUGCCGGCGGCGGCAGCGGCGGCGACAGGGACGGCAGCGGGUGCCAGGCACGAUCGCGUGCGGAGGUAGCUAGCGCGCUGCCGGUAGGUGUCGGCGGCUUGAGUGGUGAGCUAGCUGCGUCAUGAAUCGCGACUGGACGCACCGGAAACCUGUUGCAUUGGAAGGGCUGCUGUCACUGUUAUGCUGCUGCACGUUGUGGGACGUUUGGGCGUGUAGAGCGAUGGAUGCAUCCGCGGGUCACUCAGCGACUACUGGAGGCGCGUUUUUUUGGCAAGUGUGCACAACCGGGCUUUGUGACCCAAAGUUUAGGAGCAAAGUGCAGCAGUGAACGAACUUCAAUGCACAAAUGAUUCUGAAUGAUUGCAGCGCUGUAACAGGUUUUGCCUCGCUAGCUUAAUUCCGCUGGUCGCGAUGCCGCCUUCUAAGUUCAUCAGGCUAUUGUCGGUCCGCACCGGCGCCGGCAGCAGCUCCGCCUCCUCGCAUCAGGCCGAGCCGAGCCACGAGGAGCGGGUUGCGCGGGUGUGCGCUCUGGGCGGCCGCGUGCUCCAGGCGUUGCUGCUGCAGCAACAGCAACAGCUCAUGAGUGCCAGUGGUAACAAUGGGAAUGCAGGCAGCAGCAGCGGCGGCGGCUCUGGCGGAAGCAACAGCAGCUCGCACGUCGGUGCUGCUGCCGCGACCGCCGCCGCGAUCGCGCGAGGUUCUGGCAGCAGGGGCGGAGGCAGCAGCCGCAGAGCAGCAUCAGGCGGCGGCGCAAGGGUGGCAGCAGCAGGUGGCGGCGGCGGCGGCGGUGGAGGCGGGGCCCCACUGCCGCUGCCUAGAGCGGCGGAGCUGGCGGCGGCGGCUGACGACCUGGCCGUGAUCAGGGAGGUCGUGUCUUCCGAUCCCAGCCACACCACUCCCGACAUCUUCACGGAGGCCCGCCUGUGCGGCCAGCUGCAGGGGCUGAUGGCGCUGUUGGGCUGGUGCCUCAGGCUGGCAGUGCCGGCACAGCCGCCCUUCGUCACCACAGCCAGUACCUCCGCCGCCGCCUCCUCCUCUUUCGGUAGCACCGCCGCCGCCUCCUCGUGCGGCGGCAGCGGCGGCGGCGGCAGCAGAAGCACCACUGGCGGCAGCGCCGCAGGCAGCACCGCCGCCGCACCUGCGCUUGGCACGGAUAACGACGCCCUGUGCAGCGCCGCUAGCCGGCUGCUGAGCGCAUUGGUGCUUGCAUUGGCCAACCACUUCACUUGCAACGAUACGCCAGCGGCGGCGGCGUCGGCGGCGGCGACGGAGGACGGCGGCCUUCUGAAGGCGCAGGUGCUGACGCUGCUGGUCCGCUGCGGCUGCUUCCAGGUGACGUGUGCGGCCCUGGAGCGCUGCUGUUGUGCGCUUGAGCCGGCGCUGCCACCGCCACCGCCACCACUGCUGCCACCGCCGCCACCGCCGCCGCAGCCGCCGCAGCAGCAGCAGCAGCAGCAUCAACAACAGCAGCAGCAACAGCAGCAACAGCAACAGCAGCAGCAGCAGCAGGUGACGGCGGCGUUGGCGUCUGCGGCCGUGGCACCGCAGCGGCGCGUGAGGCUGGGCAAGGCGGGGUGGUGCACGGUGUGGUAUUGGCUGACUCACACCUGGGACCUCCUGGCCACCCUCAACUGCCUCUACGACAGCGCAACCGACGACUUUCGGAGCGUCCGGCACGCCAUUGACGCCCUCCGCAGCUCCCUGCCCGACCCCACCUUCGAACUCAAGCUCCUCGACUGCUACAGCCGCACACUGCUGGCGGCGUCAGCGGCUGUAGCAGCAGGGGCCAGCGGUGGCGGCGGCAGCUCGACGCAGCAGCAGGCGGAGGAGCUGUCAACCGCUAUCCGACGCUUUACAACAAAUGUUCUGACGCCGAAGCUGCUGGGCAUCACGCCGCAGGUUCUAGAGCCUUACGUGGCGGCGUGCCCCGCGCUGUCGUACGCGCUGGCGGCGCACGCCGUACACACGUGCGCGGCGGUUGACGGCGGCGGCACGUACGGCCUGCGGUGCAGCCCGGUGGCGGCGGCCGUGGCUAGGGUGAUGGCGCCGCCAGGCGGCACUCGCGGCGGCGGCGCUGGCGGCGGUCGGGGCCCGGUCGUGGGGAUGGGGGCAUCGUGGAUGGCAACGGCGGCUGGAGGAUUGCGGGCUGUGUGGGGUGCGGGUGGCGCUGGCGGCGGUCCGGGCGGCUCUGACGGCCCUGACGGCGAGGGCAGCUGCAAGCGGUGUCACGUCAUGCUGCCGCUGCUGGGAUCCGGCGGCGUAAAGCCGCUGGAGCCGCCGCCGCCGCCGCUGCUGCUCUCACAGGAAAGCAGGCAGCAGCUAUUCGGCAGCAGUGGCGGUGGGAUGUCGGUGGUCAUGGACCCGCCCGUCAUCGUACAUGGGAGGUUGGCGCAUCGCGCGGCGGAGGCGUGGGAGUCUGCGCUGUCUGAGGCCUGGCAGUGGCUGCAGGAGCACCCGCCGCCAGUGGGCCACCGCCUGUCACCGCAGGAGCAGCUGCAGCUGUGCCGGACGCAGCCGGGCUGCCUGCGGGCCGCGUACGCGCGCGCGUUGGGGCUGGCUGAGGGGCAGCCGCAGCAGCUGCAAGACCAGCUGUCGUCGGUGGCUGCUGGCGAGCGCGGCAGUAGUCAUGGGGCCCCGUGCAGCGCCGCGGCGGCAGCUGAGGAGCUGACUCGCCGGCUGGCGGCUGCGCGGAGCUGCCCGCUGCUGCACUGCGGCGGCGCCUUCGAGGUCGGCAUGCGGCUGGCGGCGGCGGCGGCAGGCUGCAUGGCAUACACGCCCGCGACGGCGGAGGAGCAUGCGCAGCAGCUGUGUGGCGUGCAGCGGCUGGCGCUGGCGGCGGUGGUGGGGCGCCGCAGCACUGCUACUGCGCCUUCUGCUGCUACUGCUCCUCCUGCUGCUACUGCUCCUGGUGCUCCUGCUACUGCGGCUGCUACUGCUCCUGGCGUGGGUCUGGGACGCGCUCCAGCCAGCGGUGAUAUCGCUGCGGAGGAGGGGCGGUCGCGGGACGUGCCGCAGCCGCUGUGGCGGCGGCUGGAGCUGGGGGAGGUCUCCCGCGUCAACUUGGCGACGGCAGGCCUGAAGCUGGCGCGGGCGGCGUGGCUGGACACCAGUGCGGUGUGGAUGCCGCGGGGCGCGUUUGCGGGCCAGGACAGCGGUGGCAGUAGCAGGAGUAGCACUUGCAGCGGUGGCAGCAGUAGCAGCACAGGCGGCAAUAGCACAGCAGGCGGUGGGCGGGGCCACGGCGGCGUGCCGUACCCUCCGGCGCCGGUGCAGCGGGACCUGCUGUCCUGGUGGCGGGCGGCGCUGGGCUGGGCGGGCCUGUUGGACAUGGACUGGGGAGGACCGGACGGAGGCGGCGGGGCUGGAGGCGGCGGCGGCGCCGCCGCUGCCGCCCCUCGGUCGGCGGCUGCGGGUGCCGCUGCGUGGCCGGACGGCGGCCGGCGG